rnacentral:rRNA from 1 species
GUCUGGUGCCAGCAGCCGCGGUAAUUCCAGCUCCAAUAGCGUAUAUUAAAGUUGUUGCAGUUAAAAAGCUCGUAGUUGAAUUUCGGGAUCAAUAUUUCGGUCAUGCCGUUGGUAUGCACUGUUAUCAUUGAUUUCUCACCUUCUAAAGAACCGUAAUGCCAUUAAUUUGGUGUUACGGGGAAUUAGGACUGUUACCUUGAAAAAAUUAGAGUGUUUAAAGCAGGCUCACGCUUGAAUACAUUAGCAUGGAAUAAUGAAAUAGGACAUCCGAUUCUAUUUUGUUGGUUUCUAGGAUCGAUGUAAUGAUUAAUAGGGAUAGUUGGGGGCAUUAGUAUUCAAUUGUCAGAGGUGAAAUUCUUGGAUUUAUUGAAGACUAACUACUGCGAAAGCAUUUGCCAAGGACGUUUUCAUUAAUCAAGAACGAAAGUUAGGGGAUCGAAGACGAUCAGAUACCGUCGUAGUCUUAACCAUAAACUAUGCCGACUAGGGAUCGGAUGAUGUUAAUUUUUUAAUGACUCAUUCGGCGCCUUACGGGAAA